AGCUGGGGGAAUUCUUUCGCGCAAUUGGAGGCGGGAAAAGUUCUGACGGAGCAACGCCGCGUGAGUGAUGAAGGUUUUCGGAUUGUAAAGGUCUGUUGUUAGGGAAGAACAAGUACGUGAGUGACUGCUCGUCCCUUGCCGGUUCCUUGCCAGAAAGCCCCGGCUUACUACGUGCCAGCA
rnacentral:rRNA from 1 species